rnacentral:rRNA from 1 species
UACAGAGGUGGCAAGCGUUGUUCGGAAUUACUGGGCGUAAAGGGCGCGUAGGCGGCCCACUAAGUCAGACGUGAAAUCCCCCGGCUUAACCUGGGAACUGCGUCUGAUACUGGAGGGCUUGAGUAUGGGAGAGGGAUGUAGAAUUCCAGGUGUAGCGGUGAAAUGCGUAGAUAUCUGGAGGAAUACCGGUGGCGAAGGCGGCAUCCUGGACCAUUACUGACGCUGAGGCGCGAAAGCUAGGGGAGCAAACGGGG